rnacentral:rRNA from 1 species
GGCUCAGAGCGAACGCUGGCGGCAGGCCUAACACAUGCAAGUCGAACGGACCCUUCGGGGUUAGUGGCGGACGGGUGAGUAACACGUGGGAACGUGCCUUUAGGUUCGGAAUAGCUCCUGGAAACGGGUGGUAAUGCCGAAUGUGCCCUUCGGGGGAAAGAUUUAUCGCCUUUAGAGCGGCCCGCGUCUGAUUAGCUAGUUGGUGGGGUAAUGGCCCACCAAGGCUACGAUCAGUAGCUGGUCUGAGAGGAUGACCAGCCACAUUGGGACUGAGACACGGCCCAAACUCCUACGGGAGGCAGCAGUGGGGAAUCUUGCGCAAUGGGCGAAAGCCUGACGCAGCCAUGCCGCGUGUAUGAUGAAGGUCUUAGGAUUGUAAAAUACUUUCACCGGUGAAGAUAAUGACUGUAGCCGGAGAAGAAGCCCCGGCUAACUUCGUGCCAGCAGCCGCGGUAAUACGAAGGGGGCUAGCGUUGCUCGGAAUUACUGGGCGUAAAGGGAGCGUAGGCGGACAUUUAAGUCAGAGGUGAAAUCCCGGAGCUUAACUUCGGAACUGCCUUUGAUACUGGGUGUCUUGAGUGUGAGAGAGGUAUGUGGAACUCCGAGUGUAGAGGUGAAAUUCGUAGAUAUUCGGAAGAACACCAGUGGCGAAGGCGACAUACUGGCUCAUUACUGACGCUGAGGCUCGAAAGCGUGGGGAGCAAACAGGAUUAGAUACCCUGGUAGUCCACGCCGUAAACGAUGAUUGCUAGUUGUCGGGGAGCUUGCUCUUCGGUGACGCAGCUAACGCAUUAAGCA